rnacentral:rRNA from 1 species
AUUGAACGCUGGCGGAAUGCUUUACACAUGCAAGUCGAACGGCAGCACGGGGGCAGCCCUGGUGGCGAGUGGCGAACGGGUGAGUAAUACAUCGGAACGUGCCCGGUCGUGGGGGAUAACGUAGCGAAAGUUACGCUAAUACCGCAUACGAUCUGAGGAUGAAAGCGGGGGACCUUCGGGCCUCGCGCGAUCGGAGCGGCCGAUGUCAGAUUAGGUAGUUGGUGGGGUAAAGGCCUACCAAGCCGACGAUCUGUAGCAGGUCUGAGAGGACGACCAGCCACACUGGGACUGAGACACGGCCCAGACUCCUACGGGAGGCAGCAGUGGGGAAUUUUGGACAAUGGGCGCAAGCCUGAUCCAGCCAUUCCGCGUGCAGGACGAAGGCCUUCGGGUUGUAAACUGCUUUUGUACGGAACGAAAAGGCUCUGGCUAAUACCUGGGGCUCAUGACGGUACCGUAAGAAUAAGCACCGGCUAACUACGUG